rnacentral:rRNA from 1 species
AUUGAUCGCUAGCGGGAUGCUCUACACAUGCAAGUCGUACGAGUGGCGGACGGGUGAGUAAUAUACCGGAACGUGCCCAGUAGCGGGGGAUAAUUACCCGAAAGAGUGGCUAAUCCCGCAUACUAUUGGAGCGGCCUAUAUCGGAUUAGCUAGUUGGUGGGGUACAGGGUCAACAGGGCAACGAACCGUAGCUGGUUUGAGAGGACGACCAGCAACACUGAGACUGAGACACGGCCCAGAAUCCUACGGGAGGCAGCAGUGGAGAAUUUUGGAAAAUGGGGGAAACCCUGAUCCAGCCAUCCCGCGUGUAUGAGAAGGCCUUCGGGUUGUAAAGUACUUUUGGCAGAGAAGCGGUAUCUGCAGAAUAAGCACCGGCUAACUACGUGCCAGCAGCCGCGGUAAUUG